GGGGCCGUGGUGUAGUCUGGUCUAGCAUUGUAGCUCGGGGAGCUACCGACUCGAGUUCAAAUCUCGGCGGCCCCA
rnacentral:tRNA from 1 species